UCAUAAUGGCCCUGAAGCAAACAAAGUGGGGAGACAAAGGGCGGGAAAUCUAGUUCCCCCAACUUUCUCCAUGACCCUUGAACUGCUUCCUCCUACCUUCUAAACCUAAAGAGCUGACCCGCAGCAGCUGGAAACUAUUCUCAGCCCAAAGACCCCUGUGCUCACAAUAAGAAUGGGUUAGGAAGUUAUCACCAUCAGAGAGGUUCAAUACGAGUCUCGGCUGUCUGACUGUGCCAUUUCCUCCAGCCACAGGCAGUUUUAUCUGCUUAAUUGAGUUAAUAAUUGAUGUUUUCAAAUGUCCAAUAUGCACCAUGGACUUUCAGCCCAUUUGUCCUUAUGACAAAUCUAUAAGGUGGGCACCAUUACUUUCCCUUUGCAGUAGAGAGAGCUGGCCAUUGAAAUAAUUGGGUUAAAGAAGGCAAGACUUAGGAUUACCUUAAAUUCAACUUCUGGUGAUGCAAGUUCAAACUACAGAGUUUUGUUUUGUUUUGUUUUGUUUUGUUUUGUUUUGUUUUGUUUUUUAACUUUUUUAUUUUUUAAAUAUAUUCUAAGUUAAAACUAUCAAAAUCUUACAUUCCUAAAAUUUGAAAUACUGCUUACCUUUAUCAGUUGAAAUUUUUUUCCAGGUUAUAUUGGAUGAACAAAGAGAUGAGUAAAAUAGUAGAGCCAUAUUAGUAGGAGAAUAGAGCUAAGCAAUGAACUGUGACAGAGGGGAGAAACAGUGCUGAGAAAUGGUCCAUGGGUGGUGAGAAGUGUUUCCCAGCUCAGAGAGGAGGAGGCAGCCGGACACAGCACAGCUCCUUGCGAGGUGCCAGAAGCUUUCAUAGACGAAGGGUGAACUGGCUGACAUCUUUGGUGAUCAAAUUUUCCCAGGUCCCUUCCUCUAUGCCCUUUGCUCUGCUUCACACUACGAAGGAGAAACCUUCUCUGCCACUUGCUCCCAACGUGGUAUACUGCUCAUCUCAAGAAGGUUGCCUUUGGUAUUCUGUUGAUAAAGAUGCUGAGGGUCUAGACAGCUCGGGAAUGAGACAAAACUCUAUGGAUCAGUGGGCCAAAAUUACCUGGGUGAUUAUUAUUUGAAUGUACACAUACACACAUGCAUGCACACAUACAUACACAUACACAGAAACAGACACCAGCACACAUGUACAUAUGCAUACAGAGGCAGACACACAUGCACUCAUACAUAUAUGCAUGCACACACACACACACACACACACGCACACCACAGUAUUGGGAACAGGUGGUAGGAGAGGCUACAGUGGGCAGGAAGCAGAGAAGUGGGAACAGAGGAAGGACCAAUAGUCACCAAGGACACCUCCUCCACUGUUCAGGUAGCAUUUGUGGACCAGGGCUUAGAUAAUGUCCCCUGAUUGUUUUAAUCUCUAUUGGCCAGAAAAAGACUUGCUCAAAGUUCAGAUUUUUGGUUCUGUUCUGACCACGUUGUGUGCACUAAUUUGUGUGACUUUAAAUGAUGUUCCAGGGAGCAGAAUGUUUUCAGUCAGUGCAAAAACCACUUGGGUAGGCCCGUUUCUGCGAUGUGUUAAGAUCGCUUUCUUAGGCGAUGGCACGGCCCGUGUUUCAUAAUUGGCGUGCGUUGCUGAGUGCGACUGUGGGUUGUUGUCCUAAAAUGAAAUGAAACAUCCCAGCUUCUCUCCAUCUCCUUUGUUAACACUCUCAUUCCCUGCUAUGUUGAGUGAGAACUGGCUCCCUCCGGGGCAUUUGAACAAUUUGCCUGCUCCCUGCUUCCUGGGAACAAGGGAUUUUGAGAUUCUGACCCCUGGUCAAAAGGUUGCUCUCGUUUUUAAAAAACCCAGCCCUAUAAACAGCUUUGCCUUUUUUAUUUUUUUAAAUUCUGCCUAUGCUUACGUCUCUUGGGCUACCACCAGACUCUUGUUUGCAGAGCAGAAGGUUUUGUGUUAGUGGGAACCCUAUUUUGCCUUAAGG
rnacentral:lncRNA from 1 species